AAACAAAAUUGAAUGGGAUGAAU
rnacentral:siRNA from 1 species